rnacentral:lncRNA from 1 species
AAAAAAAUGUAAAUUUUCACACGUCUAAUAACUUAUUAAUGCUUAAAACGAUCCAUAUUAUUGAUUAAUAAGUUAUUAUAAUUAGAGCCAAUUCUUUGAGUUCAAUGAACGUAAAGUUUUUCUUUACUAAUUAAAGAUAAAAACAACAGAUUAUAAAUAAAUUUAUUUGACACAUACUCCGCUCAAUAUCCAGAAUCACAAGUUGGUAAUUAGAAGUUUGUGAAAUGCUUAAAACUUCAAGAUGUAAGAUAUAAGAAAGAAAUUAUAUUAUCAAAUACCGCAAAUUAAUAUAUUCAUAUGCAAAAAGCAGAUAAAGUAAUUAAUGCAUUUUAAAAAUUUUUGGAAAAAAUGUGGAGGUGUGCGUAACCCUAACCUCUAGAAUUAUUCAUUCUGUCAAGCUAGGGCUUUAAACACCACCAAGAUGAUCGAUCUAAGGAGUUGGGUAAGCACAAAGCUAUUUAGAAGAAUGCUCUGUGAAUCAGAAACUCGUCUCCUCCAUGUAAGUAGAAGUUUUCACUCGUUUCAAAAGAUCAAUUAAAAAAGAAAAAAAGAAUGAAAGAGAUGAAGAAUUGGUGUGUUCUGUGCAAUUAAUUUAUGCAAGCUACAUAAUAAGAAAUUAAAGAUAAUUAAUAAAAAUUUGAACUUGAAAUUACUAACAUGAUAAGGUGACAGCUAUGGAAUAAACUCAAUAAGGAGAAGAAGAUAAGAGAUGAGAGUUAUCUUCAAGUCUUUGAAGCUGCAGUUAUAAUAAAUCCAAGCCACCGCCAAAUUAUUCGAAUAUUCUCGAUGCAAGGGUAUAUUUCCCUAUUUACCCCUUCGGAUAUGGUUAAAUAACAUUUAUUAAUAGUAUGGCUUCGCUCUCUCCAAUGUUUUGAGUUGCGGGCGGCCCCUUCCCAUUCUUAUUGAAUACCAAAAAAAAAAAUUGAUGUAAAGAACAAAAUAUUGUGGGAAUGCUACUCUAAGAAUAAAAUUAUUAGUUCUAAGAGAAAUUAAAAAAAAAAAUUCAAAAGUAUACCACUAAUAACUUGAUUAUGACACAACAAGAAGUAAAUGCAGUUUAAAUUUUUUUUUUUUUUUUUUUUUGGGGGGGGGGGAAAAGAUCAAUUAAAAAAGAAAAAAAGAAUGAAAGAGAUGAAGAAUUGGUGUGUUCUGUGCAAUUAAUUUAUGCAAGCUACAUAAUAAGAAAUUAAAGAUAAUUAAUAAAAAUUUGAACUUGAAAUUACUAACAUGAUAAGGUGACAGCUAUGGAAUAAACUCAAUAAGGAGAAGAAGAUAAGAGAUGAGAGU